AAACAAAGGAACCGAGGCAUCCAAUACAAAGGGGAAAGAGAAAGUAGUCGAGGAAUAGCUCGAGGAAAAUCGGUUAGGUAAAAUAGAGUCCGGUUCUGCAUUCAAAAUCAUCUCCGACUCCAGCUCAUUUUGUGGUAAAAAUCUUAUCUUUUGGUAAUGUGGCAUGUACUAGGUUUUAGGUGGUCAUUUGUAUAUAUUUAAUGUUUUGAAUGUAAAAGAUGGUGUAUAAACUUUAAGGAGUUUGAUGUAUUAAGGGACAAUUCCUAAGUUUAUGAAAUGAAUGGUAUAUAGUUACAUGUUAUGUGGAA